rnacentral:rRNA from 1 species
AUGUCAACUGCAAGCAAGCGUGACGCGGAUGAGGUGCAGGAGGAUGAUGGGCCGCCGCAAUAUGGUCCCGAUCUGGACCCAGGUGUCCGUGCUAUGUUCAAGGCUACAUACCAGCACUUCGACAACCGUACGAAGGCCCUCGACGAGACGGUGACCGACGGGUUCCAGGCCAUGCAAGCAGCCCUCCGUCGCCUAGAGGCAAGGGCAACCGGCACGGCUGCUCCAGCGAGGGAACAACAUGCCCUGCAGCAGCGAGCACCUCGACAUGUCCGUGACGUGGACGUUACCAACGACGACAACGAUGCUGAGUUCGAGGAUGGUUAUGAUGCUCGCGGCGACUUGCCUCGCCGACCACGACAGGAUGCUCGUCCCCGUGAUGAUGGACCAAGGCGGCGCCGCGAUGAGGACGAGGACGGAGGUAUUGGUAGAAUAAAAAUUACUAUACCUUCGUUCACAGGCAAGGCCGGUCCCGAGGAGUAUCUUGAGUGGGAGAUGCGUGUGGAGCAGAUUUUUGAUAAUCACCGUUACUCUGAGGAGCGGAAGAUUCGUUUUGCUUCUCUUGAAUUUUCAGGUUAUGCAUUAAUUUGGUGGGAUCAGCUCAACCGCAAUGACGCACGACCAGAGUCAUGGCGUGAGAUGAAGAGUACAAUGCGUGCUCGCUUUGUGCCAGCUUAUUUUCAAAAGGAGCAACACACAAAGCUUCGCCGUCUUGUUCAAGGAGCCAUGACGGUGGAUGAGUAUUACCAACGGAUGCAAGUUCUGAUGAUCAGAACUAAUGUGCAUGAGUCUGAUGAUGCAACAAUGACACGCUUCUUUGAGGGGCUGAAUGAGGAUAUACGUGACCGUGUUGAUUUGAUGCAGUACAAUGAUAUGCAAGAUCUUCUUCAUCAGGCGAAAGAUCGGGGUCAUUUGUGA